UGGAAAGUGAAAAUAGCUAACAGUGAAGUAGCCGGUUCAUCUUUUACUUACAUAUCUUUUCUGUUCAGUGUACUUUGGGCAGCCAUGCUGACGGCCUCAGUGGCAAAGGCUCCAUGGGUAGAGAUGGUGAUGCGGAGAUCAACAGCGAGUUCUUGGAUGACCGGAUCAGGGUAUGUGUUGGAUACCUUCUCCAACAGAGGCAACAACUGCUUCAGAACAGCAAAAUCACUUGACUUCAACUACAAAAUGAAAUAAAAAAU
ensembl:lncRNA novel transcript